rnacentral:lncRNA from 1 species
GACUGUUUGAAAAUCGUCUUUUGAUUAACUUCUAAAAAGAUUAAUUUGUUAAGAAGUGAUUUUUUUUUUUUAAUUUUUUUUUUAGAAAAAAACUUGUGUAAGAUAGAUUUAGGCGACUUAUUAGGGAUUUUAACUAAGUCUAAAUAAAACUAAUAAACAAAUAAACACAUAAAAAGGGAAGGGGGGAGAAAGUAAAGGAUUUAGGCCAUUGGGCCCAAAUCAACGAGACCUGUCCUAAUUUAGUUGGGCUUCCGACCCAUUUCACUUGUCCUAAACUAUUUUUUGAGCCUUUGGCUCGAGUUUUCGCUUCACCUAUAGUACAUACAACUUUGGCUUCGAGGCACGAAUGAAUAAGUAAGAAAAUAAAUAGCUAAAUAAAGACGACAAAAAAUAAGUAAACAAAAUGACAUGAUAAGAUUAUUGGGGUCUCGUAGCCGCUUCACAGAUGGGAUUUUAGCCCCUUCUCCUUCUUCUUUUAGCUUCUCGUAUUCAUAUCUCAUGCAAUCGACUUAGAUUUUUCUUCAAAAUAGACUCAAAAAUAAGCCUCAUUAGCCCAUUAUGACAUGAUCCAAAGGAAAAGAGUCCGUUUAAAUUCCAACGGAUUUCCAUCCAAAAACAAGAAAAAUAAAGAAUAGUAAUGCAUGAAAAACGAAAGGAAAAAGAGAAAGAGAAAUAAAAUUAACACAUAGACAACCAAUAGAAAGGAAAAUUAAACUAGCUGACACAUGACCAACAAAAGAAGGAAAGAAAAAGAUAUAGAUGGCGCAUAAACAUUCGGCAAACCUACUUCAAAGGUUUCAUAAUAGAAUAUUUGUAUGGUUCAUCAAUCAACCAAAACGAAAUGUAAAUUUAUCCAAUAUCAUAUCAAGAUGAACAAAAUAUGACUGAAGUUAUAGCUAUAUUUCGAGAAGCCAAAAAGACAACUAUGUAUUAUUCAAUCCUUUUUAUCAGGCAAGCAUUUUGAAAUCAAACUUACCAAAAAUGACAGUGAAGGCAACAAUCAAACUUACAUAGCUUGAUUAAAUGAGAAAAUUUCAACUUACAAAAUAAAAACAUUAACCAUAUGCCAUUCCAUUUUAUCAAAGCAAACUACUUUGAAACCAAUACUUACGAGCCAUUACAAUGAAAACAACCGUCCGAACUUAAAGAAAAGAAAGUUUACGUAUUUUUUGUAGAAGGAAACAACAAAUUUUCAACCAUAUACAAAAAACAAAGAAUUGAAACAUCCUUUCAAAACAAGAGAUAGGGAAUCAAGAAAUGGUUCAAGCUAAAUUCAAGCAUAUUUCUCGGCAGAAUAAUACACCUAUAUAGAUGAAUAAACAAAAUCCAUGUGUUUAGUGCUACACAUAUGAGCAAAUGACUUCGAGGGGGAUUUGAUUUCAACUUUAGAAAAUAAGAUUCAAUGAGUGAUCUACAUGUUUGGAAUAAGGAGAAGCCCAAGAAACCGAAUUAGGGUACUCAAGGUUCUCGCUAGAGCUCAACUUUUCCAAUACUUUCUCAUUCUCGUUGAACCAAAUUCUAAUCAAACAAGAGAGGCAACUUGAUUACCAAAUUUGGAAUCAGCAAAAUUGUACAAGAAUCCCUCAUAAUUUUUGAAACACACAGUUAAACAUACUGGACAAAUUAACGACGGAAACAAAUAGUCAGUCAGAUUAAACACUUGAAAGCUGAAACAAGGAAAACAAGAUGCCUUAAACCCCAGAUAGUAAACCAAAAGAGGGAUUGAGACAAGAACGUUAAAAGAAUAGAGUUUAAACCUAUAAUAAUACAAUUCUUAAACGUGAAUCAGCAGGUUAACAAACCAAUGCAAAGUCACCUUAUUCUGAUUUAAUAGACCAAAAUCAAGGCAAUCCAAAUACUGGCAGUAACGAUGACCUCAAAGCCAAACAGCCAAAAUAAAAUCAAGAAUGUUGUACGAAAACAAGAGAGUAAAAAAAGACACUAUGUAGAUAAUCACUAAAAAGACUAAGCAAUGAGCAACCAAGAUGAAACCGAUAUAUAUUGCACAUAAAUCCUAUGGCCUUUGAAGGCUUUUAACAGUAGACAACCCAACCUUAUUCAAACAAUAAAUAUUACCACGAAGAAAGAGGGAUGAAGAAGAAAAGCAAUAAACUAAAAAUAUAAAGGGUGUAUUUACCUUUUUUUUUGGAGCAGCAAGCAGGACGACUAGCUAUCAGCAAAUUUAUCACCACUGGGAGCUUGAUAUUGUCGACCAGCUUCCCAAAAAGAAUAUACAAGAAGAAUUUCACAAAAUAACUCCUUUUCUUUUAGAAUUCUUAGCCCCUGAGAAUUUUCUUUCGCUUCUAAAAAAAAUCAAACCAGGAAUGAAAAGAAAAGCUAAACAUCCUCCUAAAUAGUGACAAAAAAUUCUUUCUCCCGCAGAAUCUCUAUCCACGUAAAGAAAAAAAAACCUUAAACCCUGGCCUUAAAAUCUCUUUUCCCUUCUCAGAACCUUAGAGUCCAAAAAAAAAAAAUCAUCCCCGGUGAUAGUGACCAAAGGGGUCUUAUAUAGAAUACUGAAUAGGGGUCUUCCCGGAUUUCAAAAAAGAAUUUAAAAUUUAAAAUCUCCCCCUCAGAUAAGGUUCCCCCCCCAACGAAUUGUACCCAUCCCAUUAUUCUUCAACAGAUUUUGGAAGAAGAGCCAAUGGAAAAAAUGUGGAAAAGGGAAUAAUCUCCCUCAUACCAGUAAAACUCGUCCAAAUAUGUACCAAACUUGUACCUCUAUCCCGAGAUUUGCGGAGUUGGACGUUGGAUGAGCCACCUAGGCAUAUUCUAGAACAUUCUUGAGUCCUCUUUGUAUGAGUCGACCUGAGGCGCGUAAUGAAGAAGAAAUAGAUGGGUUGGAGCGCAUUAAUAGUAUCGGGUUUGGGCAUUGAAGCUAUUUCGGAUUUGGGUUUUUGAGGUUGCUGAUGCUGAUGAAGUUGUGUCGUAUUUGCUGAGGGU